AACGCGAGCACUUGUGCUCGAGUGGCGAACGGGUGAGUAAUACAUAAGUAACCUGCCCUAGACAGGGGGAUAACUAUUGGAAACGAUAGCUAAGACCGCAUAGGUACGGACACUGCAUGGUGACCGUAUUAAAAGUGCCUCAAAGCACUGGUAGAGGAUGGACUUAUGGCGCAUUAGCUGGUUGGCGGGGUAACGGCCCACCAAGGCGACGAUGCGUAGCCGACCUGAGAGGGUGACCGGCCACACUGGGACUGAGACACGGCCCAGACUCC
rnacentral:rRNA from 1 species